rnacentral:rRNA from 1 species
GAUGAACGCUAGCUACAGGCUUAACACAUGCAAGUCGAGGGGAAACGACAUCGAAAGCUUGCUUUUGAUGGGCGUCGACCGGCGCACGGGUGAGUAACGCGUAUCCAACCUGCCCACCACUUGGGGAUAACCUUGCGAAAGUAAGACUAAUACCCAAUGAUAUCCCACGAAGACAUCUGAAUGGGAUUAAAGAUUUAUCGGUGAUGGAUGGGGAUGCGUCUGAUUAGCUUGUUGGCGGGGUAACGGCCCACCAAGGCAACGAUCAGUAGGGGUUCUGAGAGGAGGGUCCCCCACAUUGGAACUGAGACACGGUCCAAACUCCUACGGGAGGCAGCAGUGAGGAAUAUUGGUCAAUGGGCGAGAGCCUGAACCAGCCAAGUAGCGUGCAGGAAGACGGCCCUAUGGGUUGUAAACUGCUUUUAUAAGGGAAUAAAGUGGGUCACGUGUGACUUUUUGCAUGUACCUUAUGAAUAAGGACCGGCUAAUUCCGUG